rnacentral:pre_miRNA from 1 species
UUAGUACUCCCUCCGUCCAACAAAAGAUGUCUCAAGUUUGUUAAAAUUUGGAUGUAUCUAGACAUGAGUUAGUGUAUAGAUGCAUUCAAAUUUAGUCAAAGUUGAGACAUCCUUUGUUGGACGGAGGGAGUAGUUU